AGAAAAAUCCAAGAAAAUCAUUAGUUAGUUUUAGGUUUGACUUUGAGUUUUGAGUCAAUCUUGCAAAAAACCCUAAAACUAUACCAAUUUCUAUUUUUUGUCGACCUAUUUCAGAUUUUUUUGGUCUACCACAAAUUAUUUUUAACAAAUUCCAUUAAAAACUAAAAAAAAAUAAUUUUGAAGCUAUAUAAUUUUAUAAAUUUUUAGUUAUUAAUUAU
rnacentral:lncRNA from 1 species